AUUGAACGCUGGCGGCAGGCUUAACACAUGCAAGUCGAACGAUGAUUAUCUAGCUUGCUAGAUAUGAUUAGUGGCGGACGGGUGAGUAACAUUUAGGAAUCUGCCUAGUAGUGGGGGAUAGCUCGGGGAAACUCGAAUUAAUACCGCAUACGACCUACGGGUGAAAGGGGGCGCAAGCUCUUGCUAUUAGAUGAGCCCAAAUCAGAUUAGCUAGUUGGUGGGGUAAAGGCCCACCAAGGCGACGAUCUGUAACUGGUCUGAGAGGAUGAUCAGUCACACCGGAACUGAGACACGGUCCGGACUCCUACGGGAGGCAGCAGUGGGGAAUAUUGGACAAUGGGGGCAACCCUGAUCCAGCCAUGCCGCGUGUGUGAAGAAGGCCUUUUGGUUGUAAAGCACUUUAAGCAGGGAGGAGAGGCUAAUGGUUAAUACCCAUUAGAUUAGACGUUACCUGCAGAAUAAGCACCGGCUAACUCUGUGCCAGCAGCCGCGGUAAUACAGGGGGUGCGAGCGCUAAUCGGAAUUACUGGGCGUAAAGCGAGUGUAGGUGGCUCAUUAAGUCACAUGUGAAAUCCCCGGGCUUAACCUGGGAACUGCAUGUGAUACUGGUGGUGCUAGAAUAUGUGAGAGGGAAGUAGAAUUCCAGGUGUAGCGGUGAAAUGCGUAGAGAUCUGGAGGAAUACCGAUGGCGAAGGCAGCUUCCUGGCAUAAUAUUGACACUGAGAUUCGAAAGCGUGGGUAGCAAACAGGAUUAGAUACCCUGGUAGUCCACGCCGUAAACGAUGUCUACUAGCCGUUGGGGUCCUUGAGACUUUAGUGGCGCAGUUAACGCGAUAAGUAGACCGCCUGGGGAGUACGGCCGCAAGGUUAAAACUCAAAUGAAUUGACGGGGGCCCGCACAAGCGGUGGAGCAUGUGGUUUAAUUCGAUGCAACGCGAGGAACCUUACCUGGUCUUGACAUAGUGAGAAUCCUGCAGAGAUGCGGGAGUGCCUUCGGGAGUUCACAUACAGGUGCUGCAUGGCUGUCGUCAGCUCGUGUCGUGAGAUGUUGGGUUAAGUCCCGCAACGAGCGCAACCCUUUUCCUUAUUUGCCAGCGGGUUAAGCCGGGAACUUUAAGGAUACUGCCAGUGACAAACUGGAGGAAGGCGGGGACGACGUCAAGUCAUCAUGGCCCUUACGACCAGGGCUACACACGUGCUACAAUGGUAGGUACAGAGGGUUGCUACACAGCGAUGCGAUGCUAAUCUCAAAAAGCCUAUCGUAGUCCGGAUUGGAGUCUGCAACUCGACUCCAUGAAGUCGGAAUCGCUAGUAAUCGCAGAUCAGAAUGCUGCGGUGAAUACGUUCCCGGGCCU
rnacentral:rRNA from 1 species